ACCAAAGAGUUAAAACAAAAGUGGUCAGUACGGACCGCCCUCACUUCGGGGUCACAUUUGGACGUCGUUCUCUGCCGGGUAGGAACCGCGUUGGCAAAUCACGGAAGCGCUUCAUUCCCGAAUCUCUUUAAGCGUGUUGGACCAUGGCCAGGGAAUACCCAGGUUCCAGUCCACACAUUACACGCACACACCGGAUACGAGGCUCACUGAGUGGGCUUCUGCAGUCACUCAGCCGAGCCUACAUCGCAGGGUUGUUGUGAGGAUAAGCUAACCAAGGAGCACCUCUCAACAGAAGUAGAAGUAAACAUGAGGGUAGCCAGAAGGGUGCAGCUGCCCCCCCCAUCAACUACUUCAGCACCCCAGUGGCUACAAGAACACAGACAUAAAAGAACAUGAAGGAAACGCAACCUGCAUUUGUGCUCUUUCUAAAUUGACGACAACGGCUUACACCCUCUUUCAACUUCAUAAUCAAAUCAAAGCAUCGGCAUGACAUCCUGUCUGUCACUUCGUGUCUCAGCUGAAGUGGGAUUCCCAGGGACCCUAAGUGGGAGGAAGGAGUGCAGAAAAGAAGCUACACAGAAGGUAAUGAGGACAGGGCACAUUUUCACCUACCGGUAAACCAAAGAUGGCCUCAAGACCUAAUCAGGAGAACAGGGAGAGGAGUUUGAAGGGCUCCCUCUUCAAUGUGCAUUCCUGAAAUCUGGAAUAUAUUUUCUGUAGUGAAUUGAGGAGAAGGGCAGACAUCUUUCACUGCCAGAAAGGUUUUGAAGUGUGAGCCUGGGGAGAUAGUGCUUCAGGGUUGCUUGCCACAAGACAUAACACCUAAAAGAUGUUCACAGAUCCCAUCUUGCUGUUUCAUAUUCCUUUGGUUUAAGAAACUCUUUUUUUACCCAUGUUCAGUGGUACGCACAUCACAGUUUGUAUAGCACUUGGUAGUGUUUAAGAUGUCAAUGGCAAUGUGACUAUCACAGCUUUUCCAUCUUCCUUUUCUUUUUUGAAGAGAAAGAAUGUCAUUGAAGACACACCGACUUAUUCCCUGUUUUACUCUAAACAGUGUGGCAAUAUAUGCCUCACUUUGCAAAGGAACACCCUCUAUUUGAUGGGCUGGCCAGAUCAUGCCUGGUUUUAAAGAAAAAAGAACGGGGAGCAGGAGCCUGAAAGUUGCCCUUUAUUGGCGAGCACCUGGUCAGUCUUCCACACUAUGAUGAGAUGUAUUCUAUUUCUGUCUCAUUUAUAAAAUUAUUUCUAAAUUUGCACUUAGACAUGUGAAUUAGUAAGGCAAAUUUGUGUUGUAGUUUCCCCCUUUUUUUGGUAAUAUAUUUCCUGGGGGGGUUCUUUUUACUUUUUUGCAGUGCUUAAGUAGCCACUCUUCUGGGUUCAUAUAAAAGUAGAUAUUGUACCCAGGCAACAUGGACAAUACUACUUUCACAAUUUGAUUGUGAGCCUGGAACAAUUUGUGAAACAUGAAAUCAAUGUACCUCAUUGCAUCUCACUAUGUUGCCUGCCUCGCUGGUUUUUGUUAUUGCAAGCAGAAAACAUAUAUUGCAAGCCCUGGCAAAGCACCAUAGAUCACUGAUAGGUUGAAUUCUGCUGGUUAUGUCAUAUCUAUCUAUAUAAUGCUAGACAUUUUCUCUUAUAUAUAUAUAAAAUCAAACUGUUAAUGUGCCCAGUUCAGAAACCUCAAGACUUACUUGAUUGUAAUUUGGCAGACUUUAUCCACUGUGCCUGAAAAUUUCAUUCACUUCCCCCCCAAAGGGGAAAAAGCAAAACCCGUUUUUUAAAAUUCUGAAAUCAUUAAAGGGUGAAAUGAAACUUUGUUUUUCCUGAAGCAGACUUGGCCUGGAACCUUAAGCUGAACUGAGCAGCAUCUGAAGCGAUUUGGACUGAGCUGAACUGUUAUUGGAAAAGCCAGAUCAGGGUUUGAGCUGAAUCUUGAAGUCGAUGCACAAAAAUACCACUUUUUCUCAUGGCAGGGUAGGCAUUUUCUCUCUCCGAGAGUUGUUAUUUUGAAACCUCUGCAACUCGAUUAAUGAAAUCUACAAAAUUUAGCAGUGGGACAGAGGAGAAAACAACCUCCUCAGGAAGCCCAAACCUAUGCAUAUUAAUACAAAGAAAUAACUCCUUUUGAAUUCAACAAGACUUGCACCUAAGUAAGUUUGCAUAUGAUUUCUAACUUAGAUAUGAAGUUCCAUGGCACAGCUUGACUAUUUACUUAAGAUUCAUUAACACCCGAAACACCAAAAACCUCAACAGAGAAGCACAAGCCUCUAUACUGUUGAUGACAACACCACCCUUCAUUAAAUAUCUUGCUGCUGUUUUCACUUAGUGAAUCAAUCAUUCAAUUGUGCCAACAAUGGACAGCAGUAAACAACAGAAACAAGCAAAGAGAAAAGUUUUAUUAUCAUCAUCAUUAUUAUUAUUCACAGGCCAAGGGAGUCGCAUGAUUUUUUAUAAUUAAACCACAAGCUAUCUCUUGAGGCUUGGUUCGCCAUAAAGUGAAGCACCACAGAAGCUUGUUACCAUAUUUAGAGAGAAUUAAUUAUCACAGACUGCACUCUGCCCACAGAAGUAAUUAGCAAAAAAAAUAUUUCCCAUGCUCACACAGCAAUGCCUUGGGAUGGGACCUUGGAAGAUCCAUACCUGGCACCAGGAAUGUUUGCUUCUUCCUCGUAUCCAUGCACAUUCUCAGACUUUCACAUAACUAGGCACAACUCUAUGGCUAUCAAAGUGCAACAGACAAUUUCUGAGUUGAACAAUUGCCUUGCCGACUAGAAAGCAACUCCAUUAUAUGAUUUACUUUCUAUACACUUCCUUUACACAAAUCCAGGACCGGGACAGUUAAUCAUCUAAAGAAUCCUAUCUAAAUGCACCCUAUGACCUGCAUUUUAUCAGCAUGCAGAACUGCACCUACCCUCCGCUGACCCCCUCCAUCCACUUCCACUAUGGUUCCAGUCCUCUAUUUAUUACACUUCUGCCCCAUUUGACCUCCAGAAAGCUCAAAUCAGUAAGUUUUCCUGCUCAGCCUGCUUAGCUUUGGCAGCAUAACUGCAUCAUCCAAUUUCAGAGCAUCUUUUGGGCCUAACUAAAGUUCUUUGCCUAUUUUAAACCAGUCUAAUACCAAGCCAUCGAGAUUUCCCCCCAACAAAGUGCAAUGACCACAAGUUUCAGGCAUUCCAAUUUUGACUCAGGUGUAGAGAUUUGUUUAAACCCAGGGCGCCCUCCCUCCUCCCAUCUAGCAAGAGAGGCCUGCCAAUAUUAAAUCUGCAUAUACUUAGCAAAUAAAUUGGGACAAGUGGAAAGGACAAAUGAACAUUUCUUCUUAACAGGGGAAAAUACCUCUAAAUGUGCUGUUGUUUCUUUCUUUCUUUUUAUUUAUUAAUGUUCAUGCUUCAAGGUGACAAAAUGGCAUAGGUCAGUAAUUUAGACCUGGAAUAUUUCUCCUUGGCCCCAAGAGAACUUGCUUUGAUCCGCGUUUCCUCGAAGAGGACCAUUCAAAUAACACCAUUAAGGCCUCCUGGCAGAAGUCACAAAUUUAAACACUCUCUUUCAGCGUCCACAUCCUGUGCAGGUUAUUGCUCUCCUCUGCAAGUAACACUUUGUUUGCCCUUUGAAUAGACCUUAAAAAGGCAAUGACAAGCCCAAGCCUUGCGGUAGAAAAGGUAACAGAACUGCGUGUAUAUUCCCCCAAUGAAAACUGGUGUGGCAUGAAAUUAUUGUGGUGGAAAAUAUUCUGGAAUGGAUGAAUAUAUCUUGGGGGAAAUAUGAGAAAAGCAAAAGAUCCUAGAAAGAGUGCAGCAAGCUGAGUCCAUGUUAGGGAAAAAGGUGGAAUAUAACAACAACAACAACAAACAAACAAACAAACAACAACAACAACGACACUCUGGAAUGAAUUUCUCCCACAUCUUGUCUUUCCUGCAGAGGUAGUCAAAGGGAGGUUGACUACUCCACUAUCCUCCACAUCACCAUUGAAUAUAUUUAUAUCUUGCUGUUUUAUCUGUCAGGGACUCAAAGCAGCUUACAGAUAGAAUAGGAAGAGCUAAAACAUAGGGGGGAGGGACAGCAGUGGAGCAA